rnacentral:lncRNA from 1 species
AAACAUUAUUUAGCCUCAACUUUUUAAGACAAAGUAGCGUUGGUUUCUUCAGUCAAUGGCCUUAGCUUACCACCCUUUGAAUUGGUGACCUUCUUCUCUUUACAUCUUCAUUAUCUGCCUUAGUGUUCGAGAAUUCUUCAUCCAAACGCACCAUCAGAUCUUCAUUCAACAAACCCAAUUCUCGUACCUGAGACUUACGUCGGGCAAUUUGGUUGUCAUGCUCCUCCAACAUCUUCUGCCAUUCUUCUGUCAGUUUCAAAGGCAUCUCCAA